CUUUACGCCCUAAUCGCCAUCCGCCCGAAAGCCCCAAAACCUCGACGCCGAUUUGCGAAGCCAAGCCGCCUUUCCCCACGCCCAGGAAGUAUGAGUAAGCGAUACAGUCGAACCAUCUACGUGGGCAAUCUCCCCGGUGACAUUCGUGAAAGGGAGGUGGAAGAUCUGUUCUACAAGUAUGGACCCAUUAUUGAUAUUGAUUUGAAGAUUCCUCCAAGGCCUCCAGGUUAUGCUUUCAUCGAGUUUGAAGAUCCUCGUGAUGCUGAAGAUGCUAUUCGUGGACGGGAUGGAUAUAAUUUUGAUGGUCACAGAUUACGAGUGGAACUUGCUCAUGGUGGUAGAGGCCAAUCUUCAUCAUUUGAUCGACAUAGUAGUCAUAGUAGUGGGGGGCGCCGUGGUGGUGUUUCCAGGCGCACAGAAUAUCGCGUAAUGGUCACUGGUUUGCCUUCGUCAGCAUCGUGGCAAGACUUAAAGGAUCAUAUGCGCCGAGCUGGUGAUGUCUGCUUUUCUGAAGUUUUUCGUGAUGGUGGUGGUACGAUUGGAAUUGUCGAUUAUACAAAUUAUGAUGAUAUGAAAUAUGCGAUUAGGAAGCUAGAUGACUCCGAGUUCCGGAAUGCAUUUUCGCGGGCAUAUAUAAGAGUGAAGGAGUACGACUCCAAGAGAAGCUUGUCUAGGAGCCGUAGUCGUAGCCGUUCAAACUCAAGAAGCCCAAGUCCGGCUCGCAGCAGGAGUCGGAGCCGAAGCAAGUCUCCUAAGGAAAAGUCAUCACGCCAUUCCUUGUCAAGGUCUCGAUCAAGAUCUGCAUCUUCUCGUUCUCGAUCAGCAUCCAAAGGACGCUCUUUGUCAAGAUUUGGGCAUAAGCGGGGAUCUCUGGAUUGCAUAUUAGGAUCUGGAUUGGAUUUGGUACAAAUGCUUGCAACUCUUUUGGUGUUGUGAGGUAUGCUGUUUCAUAGACAAGUGGUUUAUGAAACCUGCAGCACAUCUUGAUGAUUACCACUAAUGGCCUUUUCUGAUAAUGGGCCUCUUUGGGGGCAGAAAGGAUUGGUUGCGCAUUAACGAGCUGGAUUAUUCUAUAAGCCAAGUGGAAUUGGGCCUCACUGGACAAGUGCUAGGAACAAGUUUUGCCAUUCUCCAACGUUCUCCCAGUACUAUAAGUUGCACUCAGGAUUCUGGAUGUAGCUUUAUUGAGACGUUGAGGAUUUUGGAUCAAGUUGUUAAAGCAGCAAAAUGGAUAUUGAAUUCAGUUUUCUGAAACUUUUUGCAGAUCACGAUCAAGAUCCAGAUCUCCUGUAACUUCUCCCGCUCGUGAUGAGCCUGUGAACCAAAGUCCUACCAAGCGGAGUCCUAGCAAAAGCAGGAGCAGGAGCUUAUCUCGAUCUCGAUCGCCUGUGGCGAAAUCUGAUUAGACCAAUCUGCCUGAUGCGGAAGCUGUCCAAGAUGGAACGAAGUCGUUUGUUGUAUUCUUGUUUGGCCAUCUAUGAUCACUAAGACUGUUAUUGAUAAACCCAGACCCUUUAUUUUUCUGCUGAACUUUGUUGAAGAUGUUUAUGAUCAGUGUUGACAAAUAUUAAGACCCAACAUGCAAGAACUGUGUUUGUUUAUAAUGUAGAACAAUUUUCCAGUACUCAAACCAUUCAAUUUGUUGUGAUGUUU